GAUCCUGGCUCAGGAUGAACGCUAGCUACAGGCUUAACACAUGCAAGUCGAGGGGAAACGAUAUUGGAAGCUUGCUUCCGAUAGGCGUCGACCGGCGCACGGGUGAGUAACGCGUAUCCAACCUGCCCACCACUUGGGGAUAACCUUGCGAAAGUAAGAUUAAUACCUGAUGGUAUCUUAAGCACACAUGUAAUUAAGAUUAAAGAUUUAUCGGUGUACGAUGGGGAUGCGUUCCAUUAGGUAGUAGGG
rnacentral:rRNA from 1 species